rnacentral:rRNA from 1 species
CCAUAGCCAUACGUUGGGAACCCGCUGAACUGAAACAUCUAAGUAGGCGGAGGAAAAGAAAGAAAACUCGAUUUCCAGAGUAGCGGCGAGCGAAAUGGAAGGAGCCUAAACCUGGGUGCGUGCACCCAGGGGUUAUGGACUGCAAUAAGUGACUCGUAUGGUAACAGAACGGUCCUGGAAAGACCGGCCACAGAGGGUGAAAGCCCCGUAUGUGAAACCAGAAGAGAGCGAGCAUGUUCCAAAGUACCACGAGACACGAGAAACCUUGUGGGAAGUCGGGGGGACCACCCCCCAAGGCUAAAUACUCCUUAGUGACCGAUAGCGCAUAGUACUGUGAAGGAAAGGUGAAAAGAACCCCGGGAGGGGAGUGAAAAAGAACCUGAAACCCUGUGUUUACAAACUGUGGAACCACAUUUUAGGUGGAACCGCGUACUUUUUGUAGAACGGUCCGGCGAGUUGCCGGGACUGGCAAGGUUAAGCACUCAAGGUGUGGAGCCGAAGGGAAACCAAGUCUUAAUAGGGCGUUGAGUCAGUUCAGGCAGACCCGAAACCGGGUGAUCUACCCAUGUCCAGGUUGAAGUUUCCGUAAAAGGAAAUGGAGGA